rnacentral:rRNA from 1 species
UUUAUGGAGAGUUUGAUCCUGGCUCAGGAUGAACGCUGGCGGCGUGCCUAAUACAUGCAAGUCGAGCGAACAGACGGGGAGCUUGCUCCCCCGACGUUAGCGGCGGACGGGUGAGUAACACGUGGGUAACCUACCUAUAAGACUGGAAUAACUCCGGGAAACCGGGGCUAAUGCCGGAUAACAUGUGUGGACCGCAUGGUCCUACAGUGAAAGAUGGUCUUGCUGUCGCUUAUAGAUGGACCCGCGCC